rnacentral:rRNA from 1 species
GAGUUUGAUCUUGGCUCAGGAUGAACGCUGGCGGCGUGCCUAACACAUGCAAGUCGAACGGAGUUCUUAAGGAAUGCGGCUUCGGCCAAAUGACUUUUGAACUUAGUGGCGGACGGGUGAGUAACGCGUGAGCAACCUGCCUUUCAGAGGGGGAUAACAUUUGGAAACAGAUGCUAAUACCGCAUAAGAUUACAGUACCGCAUGAUACAGUGAUCAAAGGAGCAAUCCGCUGAAAAGAUGGGCUCGCGUCCGAUUAGAUAGUUGGUGAGGUAACGGCUCGCCAAGUCGACGAUCGGUAGCCGGACUGAGAGGUUGAACGGCCACAUUGGGACUGAGACACGGCCCAGACUCCUACGGGAGGCAGCAGUGGGGAAUAUUGCACAAUGGGCGAAAGCCUGAUGCAGCAACGCCGCGUGAGGGAAGACGGUUUUCGGAUUGUAAACCUCUGUUUUCGGUGACGAACAAAUGACGGUAACCGAGUAGGAAGCCACGGCUAACUACGUGCCAGCCG